rnacentral:sRNA from 1 species
GCCAGGCAUGGUGGCACAUGCCUGUAAUCCUAGCCACCAGGGAGGCUGAGGCAGGAGAAUUGUGAAUUCAGAGCCAGCCUCAGCAACUUAGUGCAGCCCUAAGCAACUUAUCGAGACCCUGUCUCUA